GCCUGGGUGGCUCAGUCGGUUGAGCAUCCGACUUCGGCUCAGGUCAUGAUCUCACAGUUUGUGGGUUCGAGCCCCGCAUCAGGCU
rfam:Felis catus isolate Cinnamon breed Abyssinian chromosome D3, whole genome shotgun sequence.